CAGUCGCCGCGGGAAUACGAAGGGUGCAAGCGUUAAUCGGAAUUACUGGGCGUAAAGCGUGCGUAGGCGGUUUCUUAAGUCUGCUGUGAAAUCCCCGGGCUCAACCUGGGAAUGGCAGUGGAUACUGGGAAGCUAGAGUGUGUCAGAGGAUGGUGGAAUUCCCGGUGUAGCGGUGAAAUGCGUAGAGAUCGGGAGGAACAUCAGUGGCGAAGGCGGCCAUCUGGGACAACACUGACGCUGAGGCACGAAAGCGUGGGGAGCAAACAGGAUUAGAUACCCCAGUAGUCCCUGUCUCUUAUAC
rnacentral:rRNA from 1 species